rnacentral:rRNA from 3 species
GAGCGAACAGAUAAGGAGCUUGCUCCUUUGACGUUAGCGGCGGACGGGUGAGUAACACGUGGGUAACCUACCUAUAAGACUGGGAUAACUUCGGGAAACCGGAGCUAAUACCGGAUAACAUUUGGAACCGCAUGGUUCUAAAGUGAAAGAUGGUUUUGCUAUCACUUAUAGAUGGACCCGCGCCGUAUUAGCUAGUUGGUAAGGUAACGGCUUACCAAGGCGACGAUACGUAGCCGACCUGAGAGGGUGAUCGGCCACACUGGAACUGAGACACGGUCCAGACUCCUACGGGAGGCAGCAGUAGGGAAUCUUCCGCAAUGGGCGAAAGCCUGACGGAGCAACGCCGCGUGAGUGAUGAAGGGUUUCGGCUCGUAAAACUCUGUUAUUAGGGAAGAACAAAUGUGUAAGUAACUGUGCACGUCUUGACGGUACCUAAUCAGAAAGCCACGGCUAACUACGUGCCAGCAGCCGCGGUAAUACGUAGGUGGCAAGCGUUAUCCGGAAUUAUUGGGCGUAAAGCGCGCGUAGGCGGUUUCUUAAGUCUGAUGUGAAAGCCCACGGCUCAACCGUGGAGGGUCAUUGGAAACUGGGAAACUUGAGUGCAGAAGAGGAAAGUGGAAUUCCAUGUGUAGCGGUGAAAUGCGCAGAGAUAUGGAGGAACACCAGUGGCGAAGGCGACUUUCUGGUCUGUAACUGACGCUGAUGUGCGAAAGCGUGGGGAUCAAACAGGAUUAGAUACCCUGGUAGUCCACGCCGUAAACGAUGAGUGCUAAGUGUUAGGGGGUUUCCGCCCCUUAGUGCUGCAGCUAACGCAUUAAGCACUCCGCCUGGGGAGUACGACCGCAAGGUUGAAACUCAAAGGAAUUGACGGGGACCCGCACAAGCGGUGGAGCAUGUGGUUUAAUUCGAAGCAACGCGAAGAACCUUACCAAAUCUUGACAUCCUUUGAAAACUCUAGAGAUAGAGCUUUCCCCUUCGGGGGACAAAGUGACAGGUGGUGCAUGGUUGUCGUCAGCUCGUGUCGUGAGAUGUUGGGUUAAGUCCCGCAACGAGCGCAACCCUUAAGCUUAGUUGCCAUCAUUAAGUUGGGCACUCUAGGUUGACUGCCGGUGACAAACCGGAGGAAGGUGGGGAUGACGUCAAAUCAUCAUGCCCCUUAUGAUUUGGGCUACACACGUGCUACAAUGGACAAUACAAAGGGCAGCUAAACCGCGAGGUCAUGCAAAUCCCAUAAAGUUGUUCUCAGUUCGGAUUGUAGUCUGCAACUCGACUACAUGAAGCUGGAAUCGCUAGUAAUCGUAGAUCAGCAUGCUACGGUGAAUACGUUCCCGGGUCUUGUACACACCGCCCGUCACACCACGAGAGUUUGUAACACCCGAAGCCGGUGGAGUAACCAUUUAUG